GACGAACGCUGGCGGCGUGCUUAACACAUGCAAGUCGAACGGAAAGGCCCUGCUUUUGUGUGGUGCUCGAGUGGCGAACGGGUGAGUAACACGUGAGUAACCUGCCCUUGACUUUGGGAUAACUUCAGGAAACUGGGGCUAAUACCGGAUAGUAGCUCCUGCUGCAUGGUGGGGGUUGGAAAGUUUCGGCGGUUGGGGAUGGACUCGCGGCUUAUCAGCUUGUUGGUGGGGUAGUGGCUUACCAAGGCUUUGACGGGUAUCCGGCCUGAGAGGGUGAACGGCGACAUUGGGACUGAGAUACGGACCAGACGGCUACGGGGGGCAGCAGUCGCGAGUAUUGCACAAUGGGCGGAAGCCUGAUAAAGCAACGCCGCGUGUGGGAUGACGGCCCUCGGGUUGUAAACCGAUUAAGCCUGUGACGAAGCGUGAGUGACGGUAAUGGGUAAAGAAGCACCGGCUAACUACGUG
rnacentral:rRNA from 1 species